rnacentral:rRNA from 1 species
AUGCAGAUCUUUGUGAAGACCCUCACCGGCAAGACCAUCACCCUCGAGGUCGAGUCGUCGGACACCAUCGACAAUGUCAAGGCCAAAAUCCAGGACAAGGAGGGCAUCCCUCCGGACCAGCAGCGUCUCAUCUUCGCUGGCAAGCAGCUUGAGGAUGGCCGCACCCUUGCUGACUACAACAUCCAGAAGGAGUCCACCCUCCACCUGGUGCUCAGGCUCCGUGGUGGCAUGCAGAUUUUUGUGAAGACCCUCACCGGCAAGACCAUCACCCUUGAGGUCGAGUCCUCGGACACUAUCGACAACGUCAAGGCUAAGAUCCAGGACAAGGAGGGCAUCCCUCCGGACCAGCAGCGUCUCAUCUUCGCUGGCAAGCAGCUUGAGGAUGGCCGCACCCUCGCUGACUACAACAUCCAGAAGGAGUCCACCCUCCACCUGGUGCUCAGGCUCCGUGGUGGCAUGCAGAUUUUUGUGAAGACCCUCACUGGCAAGACCAUCACCCUGGAGGUUGAGUCCUCGGACACCAUUGACAACGUGAAGGCGAAGAUCCAGGACAAGGAGGGCAUCCCCCCGGACCAGCAGCGUCUCAUCUUCGCUGGUAAGCAGCUUGAGGAUGGCCGCACCCUGGCGGACUAUAACAUCCAGAAGGAGUCCACCCUUCACCUGGUGCUCAGGCUCAGGGGUGGGAUGCAGAUUUUUGUGAAGACCCUCACCGGCAAGACCAUCACCCUUGAGGUCGAGUCCUCGGACACCAUCGACAACGUCAAGGCUAAGAUCCAGGACAAGGAGGGCAUCCCUCCGGACCAGCAGCGUCUCAUCUUUGCUGGCAAGCAGCUUGAGGAUGGCCGCACCCUCGCUGACUACAACAUCCAGAAGGAGUCCACCCUCCACCUGGUGCUCAGGCUCCGUGGUGUGUGA